GAUGAACGCUGACAGAAUGCUUAACACAUGCAAGUCUUUGGCGAAGCUGUGCUUGCACAGCCUAGCCAAGGCGGACGGGUGAGUAACGCGUAAGGAACUUGCCCUGCAGUCAGGGAUAACAGACGGAAACGACUGAUAAGACCUGGUAAAGUCAGGCGGACUCAUGUCCAGCCUGAUGAAAAGAGAUGCUGCAGGAGAGCCUUGCGUCCUAUUAGCUUGUUGGUGGGGUAACGGCCCACCAAGGCGAUGAUAGGUAGCCGGCCUGAGAGGGUGGACGGCCACAAGGGGACUGAGAUACGGCCCUUACUCCUACGGGAGGCAGCAGUGGGGAAUAUUGGACAAUGGGGGCAACCCUGAUCCAGCAAUUCUGUGUGCACGAUGAAGGUUUUCGGAUUGUAAAGUGCUUUCAGCAGGGAAGAAAAAAAGGACGGUACCUGCAGAAGAAGCGACGGCUAAAUACGU
rnacentral:rRNA from 1 species